rnacentral:rRNA from 1 species
CCUACGGGAGGCAGCAGUGAGGAAUAUUGGUCAAUGGGCGCGAGCCUGAACCAGCCAAGUCGCGUGAGGGAAGACGGUCCUCUGGAUUGUAAACCUCUUUUGUCGGGGAGAAAAAGACGCCACGCGUGGCGUUCCGAGAGUACCCGAAGAAAAAGCAUAGGCUCACUCCGUGCCAGCAGCCGCGGUAAUACGGAGGAUGCGAGCGUUAUCCGGAUUUAUUGGGUUUAAGGGGUGCGCAGGCGGAAGAUCAAGUCAGCGGUAAAAUUGAGAGGCUCAACCUCGUCGAGCCGUUGAAACUGGUUUUCUUGAGUGAGUGAGAAGUAUGCGGAAUGCGUGGUGUAGCGGUGAAAUGCAUAGAUAUCACGCAGAACUCCGAUAGCGAAGGCAGCAUACCGGCGCUCAACUGACGCUCAUGCACGAAAGUGUGGGUAGCGAACAGGAUUAGAUACCCGAGUAGUC